rnacentral:rRNA from 1 species
GAUGAACGCUGGCGGCGUGCCUAAUACAUGCAAGUCGAGCGAACAGACGAGGAGCUUGCUCCUCUGACGUUAGCGGCGGACGGGUGAGUAACACGUGGAUAACCUACCUAUAAGACUGGGAUAACUUCGGGAAACCGGAGCUAAUACCGGAUAAUAUAUUGAACCGCAUGGUUCAAUAGUGAAAGACGGUUUUGCUGUCACCUAUAGAUGGAUCCGCGCCGCAUUAGCUAGUUGGUAAGGUAACGGCUUACCAAGGCAACGAUGCGUAGCCGACCUGAGAGGGUGAUCGGCCACACUGGAACUGAGACACGGUCCAGACUCCUACGGGAGGCAGCAGUAGGGAAUCUUCCGCAAUAGGCGAAAGCCUGACGGAGCAACGCCGCGUGAGUGAUGAAGGUCUUCGGAUCGUAAAACUCUGUUAUUAGGGAAGAACAAAUGUGUAAGUAACUAUGCACGUCUUGACGGUACCUAAUCAGAAAGCCACGGCUAACUACGUG